rnacentral:rRNA from 1 species
AUUGAACGCUGGCGGCAUGCCUUACACAUGCAAGUCGAACGGUAACAGGUCUUCGGAUGCUGACGAGUGGCGAACGGGUGAGUAAUACAUCGGAACGUGCCUAGUAGUGGGGGAUAACUACUCGAAAGAGUGGCUAAUACCGCAUGAGAUCUACGGAUGAAAGCAGGGGAUCGCAAGACCUUGUGCUACUAGAGCGGCCGAUGGCAGAUUAGGUAGUUGGUGGGUUAAAAGCUUACCAAGCCGACGAUCUGUAGCUGGUCUGAGAGGACGGUCAGCCAAACUGGGACUGAGACACGGCCCAGACUCCUGCGGGAGGCAGCAGUGGGGAAUUUUGGACAAUGGGCGCAAGCCUGUUCCAGCAAUGCCGCGUGCAGGAUGAAGGCCUUCGGGUUGUAAACUGCUUUUGUACGGAACGAAAAGCCCUGGGUUAAUACCCUGGGGUCAUGACGGUACCGUAAGAAUAAGCACCGGCUAACUACGUGCCAGCCGCCGCCGUAACAC